GUGGCAGUCACGUGGGGCGUGAGUGGUUUCUGGCCGGUUCUCAGAGCGCAAUUGGUCUCCUGAGUGGCUUCGUACCUCUCUUCCCGCUGUUGUUCACAAUUCUGACGAGCUGUGCCCCUUACGUGAAUCUAGGUUUCCAUAGGUAGCUGUUGCCCAGCGAUCUUUCCAGAAAGGUUAUUUGCCGACAAAGCGGCUUUGUGUUGCAGUUUCCCACCUGUGGCAUGAUAGUUGGACGAAGCUUCAGAGAGCCUUGUGGGCUUAACUCCUCGCUUCCGAAAUUAAUAGGGAAAAGAAAAAAAGAAUGAAUGAAACGCCCCAAAGAGAGGCGGGUGACAGGACAAAUGAAUGACUCAAUGAGAACCCAAGAGGCCCAUCUCCCAGGCCCCUCCUUGAGCCUUAAUCUUGGUACUUUUUGCACCAUCACCUCACCUUGAUCGCUAGAGCUUUUCUUUUUGGAUGGAAAAGAUCUUUUUAGUUGGAUUUUGGAGACACCUAGUCAAAGAGUAUUUGAACUCAGUUUCGUUCUGCUGCGAUGUCAUUGUUUGUGGAAUGAAAAGAUUGGUGAAGAUGACAAGCAUGGAUUGGAGUUGGGUAUUUCCCUUUUCCCACAUGGAAGGCUGGAGCUGAUUGGAUUUAGAGAUUAUCCUCUCCCAGACCUGGUUGAGAUCGUAGAGGUAAAUUUCACAACAUCGUGGAGACCUGGCCAUGAUUAUGUCCUCUGGAGUUUUUUUUAACUCUCAGAAGUACCCACACUGAGCCUCCAGCAAUCUGUCAGUCACAGCUCCUGUUUUCCUGCUCCACACUGGGCCCCUGGCGGUUUCCAUUUGUUUGUCUCCACUCUGGGCACUGGGUUUUCAAAGAUUCCCUUUGAGCCACAGGAAUCCUGGUCUUUGGCUAUUGCUUUCUGGGACUUCUGACGGGUGAUCAUCACUUACUCAAUAAAAGGACUGAAAAUCCACAAAGGUUUCCCCAUGGAAUGUCAUCGAAAGAACUCCAAUAUUCCACUUUGGUAAAGUAGAGGAUGACAGGAAUACAGGUGAUGAAAAGGAUGUUAAACACACCCAAAAUGGACAAAAACAAGGCGGCCUCUCCAAACUUAGCACUGCCCAGGAGGAGCUUGAACAGAACCUGUCAAGAAAGCAGAGGGGAGGCAUGAAGGCUCGUGAGGGAUUCCAACAAGCCAGAAGGGACCAAGUGCACAUCAUCAAGCAGAGGCUGGACCACCAGACUGACAGCCACGUGACAGGUCACUUUUCCAGCUUGGAUAUCAGAAAAUAUUUACAUUCUCUAUUGUGGACCUAAAGAUAAGUAGAGCAAAAAGGAGAGCAGCUUGAACCCUCAGCCCUCCAGAAAGGGGAACCAUAUCACUUCCCUUCAAUCUUUGGAAACUACCCGGCAACAAGCUGGGAGAAGACUAAGACUAGCUUUGCAUCAGUUUGAUGGGGCUUUAAGUUCAAGAUGUAUGUUUAUCAAGCAGAAUCUUUCAGGGACUGAAAGCUGCUGGGACUCAGAUUUCCCAUGCUCUUUGAACUCUUGCAGAUGAGAGGAGGGAAAUUCACCAUAAUCUGGACUGGGAAGCUCCUAGAUAACAGGUCACAUACUUCUGAGAAGAGUGAUGGGUAUUAAAGAGACCCACAGCUGCACAGAUGACACAAUUCCACCACUAACACCAGCUCACUGGUCUUUGGUUUCAAGGCUGGCCUAGUGCUGAGGACUUCUAACAAAAUUCUGGUCUGUGCUGACUGCUGUACCUGAACCAACAGAUAGGAGGUUAGGAUGGCGAGACCACAUCACAGCUCAGACCUGUUAGGAAGAAAAGUCUUAUCCAUGUGUAGCAAUAAAAAAAAUCUUUAUGAUCCACACUGUUCCCUACAGACCUAGAAGGACUUCAGGUAUUUUCGUAUCUCCUUCUCUUAACCUGCAAACAUUUGUUUUCUUCUGCUUCAAUGCAGAAAUAACCUUGAAGCAUCUCUUCUCUGUAGCAAAGUCUCAUUUGGAAUCUGCUUUGGACAUCAGAAUCGUGCCAAAAAUCCCAUGAAUUCCUUUGGCUCUUUGUGUCAAAAUAAAGUCACAGCAGGCCCCAGAUCAUCCAA